UACGUAGGGUCCGAGCGUUGUCCGGAAUUACUGGGCGUAAAGAGCUCGUAGGUCGGUUGUCGCGUCUGCUGAUGAAAACUGGAGGCUCAACCUCCAGCCUGCAGUGGGUACGGGCAGACUAGAGUGCGGUAGGGGAGAUUGGAAUUCCUGGUGUAGCGGUGGAAUGCGCAGAUAUCAGGAGGAACACCGAUGGCGAAGGCAGAUCUCUGGGCCGUAACUGACGCUGAGGAGCGAAAGCAUGGGGAGCGAACAGG
rnacentral:rRNA from 1 species